AUUGAACGCUGGCGGCAGGCCUAACACAUGCAAGUCGAGCGCAGCGUCGGACGGGUGAGUAAUGCCUAGGAAUCUGCCUGGUAGUGGGGGAUAACGUCCGGAAACGGGCGCCAAUACCGCAUACUAUCAGAUCAGCCUAGGUGGGAUUGGCUAGUUGGUGGGGUAAAGGCCUACCAAGGCGAUGAUCCGUAACUGGUCUGAGUGGAUGAUCAGUCAAACGGGAACUGGGACACGGUCCAGACUCCUACGGGAGGGAGCAGUGGGGAAUAUUGGGCAAUGGGCGAAAGCCUGGUCCAAGCAAGCCGGGUGUGUGAAAAAAGUCUUCGGGUUGUAAAGCACUUUAAGUGGGGAGGCGUUACCAACAUAAUAAGCACCGGCUAAAUUCGUGCCAACAACCGCGGUAAUAC
rnacentral:rRNA from 1 species